CCUACGGGUGGCUGCAGUGGGGAAUAUUGGACAAUGGGCGAAAGCCUGAUCUAGCCAUGCCGCGUGUGUGAAGAAGGCCUUCUGGUUGUAAAGCACUUUCAGUGGGGAAGAAAGCCUUGGGGCUAAUACCCUCGAGGAAGGACAUCACCCACAGAAGAAGCACCGGCUAACUCCGUGCCAGCAGCCGCGGUAAUACGGAGGGUGCGAGCGUUAAUCGGAAUUACUGGGCGUAAAGCGCGCGUAGGCGGUCUGAUAAGCCGGUUGUGAAAGCCCCGGGCUCAACCUGGGAACGGCAUCCGGAACUGUCAGGCUAGAGUGCAGGAGAGGAAGGUAGAAUUCCCGGUGUAGCGGUGAAAUGCGUAGAGAUCGGGAGGAAUACCAGUGGCGAAGGCGGCCUUCUGGACUGACACUGACGCUGAGGUGCGAAAGCGUGGGUAGCAAACAGGAUUAGAUACCCGUGUAGUC
rnacentral:rRNA from 1 species